CCGCUCUGAUCAAAUGAAAUGCAGCAGCGUUCUGAAUCAGACCAUGGAAAGAAAUUCAUAAAAAACAGUACCCAAGUCGAAUUAAUCACUGUGUUGACUUCCAAAGCCUUUUUCUGUCAUUUUUGUGCAAGUAUUUCUAUGCCUCGGCGACAAAGCCCUGGGAAUUCUUGCCUUGAUGAUCUGCAGCCAGCGCUCUCAAUGAGAUAUGGAAAGAAAAGACAGAGAAAGAACAGAGCAGCUAUAAUAAAGCUAUAUUCACUAUAAAAAAAAUAAUGAGAAAUUACCCGAAAUCUGGACUCUCAUAAUAUGUAUUGAGAUAAUUCUUUAAAAAAAUCUACUAUGUAUAUUUUCUCUCAUGGCUUAGUUAGAAGGAAGAUCAAACUUAUGAAGUCUAGGAACAGUUUAAGCUUCCAUAUGUUCCGUACCCUAGAAAUUGCUGAACACUGAAGAAACCUCCGAGACAAGAUCGAGAAAGAUUGCCAAGAAAGUCAACAGUGACCUACAAGGAAGAAAUCACGACAGACAGACAGACCUGGGUGCCCCUUUGACGAGGACAAACACAAUUUAUGAAUGGAAUGGCGAGCAUCUCGAGAAAUGGACGGACGGAAAAUAUGAACUCUAACGACGAUUUCUGCAAGAGCGUUUAGCACAAAAUUGCUCGACGGUGAACCGAUUCCCUUUCACAACUUGGCGAGCGACGUGUUUAUAAAACUAGAAAGCAAUCGCCAUGGUGACCACCAGAGAGGUCAUCCUACCAGGUCGCAUCACCGGGGAUCAACGGUCGAUCAAAGUUUAUAAGAACUAGGGUUUUGGACGCCCGGGCAUUGGUGCCGAUGGCCGGACUCUGGCAUCAGAAAUUAAGUUCAUCGCAAAGGAGGUAACAUGCCGGGUCGAGAGAGGACGCAUGCAGGGAGAAAAAGAUAAGAGCAACCGCACCUCAUCGCCCCAUAUCUCCCCACCCAAAGCGCCCGUAAGGUUCCGCGCGGAAGUAAGUUCCCAAGGCAUGAACUUCCAGAUGCCAGGUGAGAGAUCAGCGCCUUAAAAGACGAUGCGGAUGGUUCUUCGAGAAGGGUAUGCGGGAUCACAGAGCCGACGAAGAAGGAGACGGAGAACAAAAAACCUGCGCGCGCGUCCCUCUGAGAGACGGGGGG
rnacentral:lncRNA from 1 species